UACGUAGGGCGCAAGCGUUGUCCGGAAUUAUUGGGCGUAAAGAGCGUGUAGGCGGCUUUACAGGUCCGUUGUGAAAACUCGAGGCUCAACCUCGAGACGCCGGUGGAAACCGUAAGGCUAGAGUCCGGAAGAGGAGAGUGGAAUUCCUGGUGUAGCGGUGAAAUGCGCAGAUAUCAGGAGGAACACCCGUGGCGAAAGCGGCUCUCUGGGACGGUACUGACGCUGAGACGCGAAAGCGUGGGGAGCGAACAGG
rnacentral:rRNA from 1 species